rnacentral:tRNA from 1 species
UCCCGUGUGGCUCAGUUGGUAGAGCAUGGUGCUUGCAAUACCAAGGUUCGAUUCCCACGGGGA